rnacentral:rRNA from 1 species
UGAGGCCGACUGCGGGAGGUAUUAAAGAAAUUUAAUUGAUUUGUUGAGUCGGAGAGAGAAUGUGUGGGGAGGACAGUGUAGAAUAGGAGGGUCUAAAAUAUUUUUCUGGUGUGAAUGGUAUUUCUGCUGGCUGGGGUUAAGUGGGGGGUUGGUGGGUGUUGUGAGUGGGGGGAGGGAGCGACAAAGACUGGGAGUGUGGGUGGAUCGUCUAUUGAAAGGAGGUGUUUUAUACACGACUCGACGUUUCUAAUUACUACGACGUGGAGUUUACUUUACUACUAUUCUUUUGUUCGUUGGGGGAAAGUCUUUUGGGGAGGGAGUUUGCAGUGGAUGAAAAAAACAAUAUUUUUUUAAAAUAAUUGAGUGCAACAAAGAUUUCUUUUAGUAGAAAACAACUUGAAAACUUUCAACAAUGGAUGCGCUUGGUUGCGCGGAGCGAUGAAGAACCGCAGCGAAAUGCGAUGCGUAAUGUGAAUUGCAGAAUUGCGCGUGAAUGCAUGCGAAUGCUUUGAAGCGCACAUUGCGGCGCUGCUGGUAUUGCCGGGGGGCAUGGCUGUUUGAGCGUGCAUUUGCGCUUGCUCAAACAGCAUUGUGUUUGGUAGUGAGUGAUAGCUGCUGCGUUUUUGAGUUAAGCUUGAAAUUGUAGGCGCAUAUGCAGUAUGUGGGAGCGCGAGCGCAAGCUUGCUGCUAUUAAUGGCUGCUGCUGCGUUUGCGCGAGCGGCGGGGGGUUAAUAGCUGUAUUACGUUUUACGCCAGCUGCGGUGUUGAUGCUAGGGGAGGGAUAAAGUGAGUGUUUUGUGCGUGCUGGGCAGAGCGAGCGUGCUUUAAGUUUGACGCUGCAAUGCAGUAGGGUUAGCGCGCUGAAGCUAAGCAUAUGCAUUAAAGGGGCGGAGAGGAAA